UGGGGAAUUUUGGACAAUGGGCGCAAGCCUGAUCCAGCCAUACCGCGUGAGUGAAGAAGGCCUUCGGGUUGUAAAGCUCUUUCAGACGGAAAGAAACGGUUACGGCUAAUACCCGUGACUAAUGACGGUACCGUAAGAAGAAGCACCGGCUAACUCCGUGCCAGCAGCCGCGGUAAUACGGAGGGAGCUAGCGUUGUUCGGAAUUACUGGGCGUAAAGCGUACGUAGGCGGUGACUCAAGUCAGGGGUGAAAGCCCGAGGCUCAACCUCGGAAUUGCCUCUGAUACUGGCUGUCUAGAGUUCGAGAGAGGUGAGUGGAAUUCCUAGUGUAGAGGUGAAAUUCGUAGAUAUUCGCAGGAACACCAGUGGCGAAGGCGACUUGCUGGACUUAUGGUGACGCUGAGACGCGAAAGCGUGGGGAGCAAACAGGAUUAGAUACCCCAGUAGUCCCUGAGCGGGCUGGCAAGGCGCAU
rnacentral:rRNA from 1 species